AGCCACACAAUUACUUUUUGCUGCUUAUGAGCAUUGAGUGUGGUCAAGCUGUGUAGACCCUUAGGAGCUUGUCAUGUGGUUAAAUCAAGAUUCACUUGCACGUUCACUCACACAUGCUACUUCUACUCCGGAAGUACCAUCCACAUAUAUCCACCCAUUUCCAUCUCCAGAACCACCCAAAAAUAUUCUACUACUAAUCCGGGAGAGAAUAGCCAAAA
rnacentral:lncRNA from 1 species